rnacentral:rRNA from 1 species
GUGGGGAAUUUUGGACAAUGGGCGCAAGCCUGAUCCAGCGACGCCGCGUGGAGGACGAAGGCCUUCGGGUUGUAAACUCCUUUUGGAGGGGAAGAAUAAAUUGACGGUACCCUCAGAAAAAGCCACGGCUAACUACGUGCCAGCAGCCGCGGUAAUACGUAGGUGGCGAGCGUUACUCGGAAUUACUUGGCGUAAAGCGUAUGUAGGUGGUUAUAUAAGUCUAUGGUGAAAUUUCCUGGCUUAACUGGGAAGGGACAUAGAUACUAUCUGGCUUGAGUGUGGUAGGGGGAGACGGAAUUCCUGGUGUAGCGGUGAAAUGCGUAGAUAUCAGGAGGAACACCGAUGGCGAAAGCAGUCUCCUGGCCCAAUACUGACACUGAGGUACGAAAGCUAGGGUAGCAAACAGGAUUAGAUACCCUAGUAGUCC